rnacentral:rRNA from 1 species
UGGGGAAUAUUGCACAAUGGGCGCAAGCCUGAUGCAGCCAUGCCGCGUGUGUGAAGAAGGCCUUCGGGUUGUAAAGCAACUUUCAGCGAGGAGGAAGGUGGUGGACUUAAUACGUUCAUCAAUUGACGUUACUCGCAGAAGAAGCACCGGCUAACUCCGUGCCAGCAGCCGCGGUAAUACGGAGGGUGCAAGCGUUAAUCGGAAUUACUGGGCGUAAAGCACACGCAGGCGGUUUGUUAAGUCAGAUGUGAAAUCCCCCGGGCUCAACCUGGGAACUGCAUUUGAAACUGGCAAGCUAGAGUCUCGUAGAGGGGGGUAGAAUUCCAGGUGUAGCGGUGAAAUGCGUAGAGAUCUGGAGGAAUACCGGUGGCGAAGGCGGCCCCCCUGGACGAAGACUGACGCUCAGGUGCGAAAGCGUGGGGAGCAAACAGAUUAGAUACCCUGGUAGUCCACGCUGUAAAACGAUGUCGA